GUUACUGUAGUGUAGUGGUUAUCACGUUCGCCUCACACGCGAAAGGUCCCCAGUUCGAAACUGGGCGGAAACA
rfam:Danio rerio chromosome 4, GRCz11 reference primary assembly.